rnacentral:rRNA from 1 species
UACGAGGGGGGCGAGCGUUGUUCGGAAUUAUUGGGCGUAAAGGGUGCGUAGGCGGUUUGGUAAGUCUUGUGUGAAAUCUACAGGCUCAACUUGUAGUCUGCACGAGAAACUGCCGGGCUUGAGUGUGGGAGAGGUGAGUGGAAUUCCUGGUGUAGCGGUGAAAUGCGUAGAUAUCGGGAGGAACACCAGUGGCGAAGGCGGCUACCUGGACCAGCACUGACACUCAGGCACGAAAGCGUGGGGAGCAAACAGG